CUUCUUUAAUUAUAUCACCCUGUAAAUUGAAUUUAUAAAUUUUCAGAACUUCGAACCAAUCCAAUAAAACCAUGAUAGUGUUCUUAUAUGAUGCCAUAAUUUCUACAACAUUUGCAUUAUCAAAAUUUUGAAUUAAAGCUCUGUCCUGCAUUGAGCAAAACUGGAAAGAAUGGAUUAUCAGAUGAUCCGGGCAACUGCAAUGAGUAACAUAGCUUAAAUUUCAUCCUCAACAAAUUACAACUUAUAAUUUUGUGCUAGAAGAUAAAAGCAAAUAAUUAACUGCAGAUACAAGUAAUUGAAAUAAAUAGAAAUUUAAAAAACUGAACACAGACAAUGAACUGAAUUUUUUCUUUUAAAAAAAGGUGGUUAUUUGAGGUGAUCAACAAAUUUUAAAACAAAAAAAACUCAAAUUAUACUGGAAAUAAGCAUGCCAUUGUAAUACCUCUUUAAAGAUGGGAG
rnacentral:misc_RNA from 1 species